UACAGAGGGUGCGAGCGUUAAUCGGAAUUACUGGGCGUAAAGCGUGCGUAGACGGUUAUGUAAGUCAGAUGUGAAAGCCCCGGGCUCAACCUGGGAAUUGCAUUUGAGACUGUGUAGCUAGGGUGCGGAAGAGGGAAGUGGAAUUUCAGGUGUAGCGGUGAAAUGCGUAGAUAUCUGAAGGAACAUCAGUGGCGAAAGCGACUUCCUGGACCAAUACUGACGCUCAUGUGCGAAAGCGUGGGGAGCAAACAGG
rnacentral:rRNA from 1 species